UUAAAGGGCUGCAGUAUAUUGACUGUACAAAGGUAGCAUAAUCAUUAGUCAUUUAAUUGAUGACUUGUAUGAAGGAUUGGAUGAAAUAUAAACUGUCUCUUAAUUAUAUUUAGAAUUUAAUUUUUUAAUUAAAAAGUUAAAAUAAAUUAGAAAGACGAGAAGACCCUAUAGAGUUUUAUAGAUAAAAUUAAUUGAGAUUAUUUGUAAAGAUUAAAUUAAGAUUAAUUUAUUUAUUUUGUUGGGGUGACAGAAAAAUAUGAAAAACUUUUUAUAUGUUUAAAACAUUAAUAAGUGGUUAAAUGAUCCAGUAUUAUUGAUUAUAAGAAAAAAUUACCUUAGGGAUAACAGCGUAAUUUUUUUUUUUAGUUCACAUAAAAAAAAAAGUUUGCGACCUCGAUGUUGGAUUAAGAUAAAAUUUAAAUGCAGAAG
rnacentral:rRNA from 1 species